rnacentral:tRNA from 1 species
CCGGGUGUUGCGCAGUUGGUAGCGCGCCAGCUUUGGGAGCUGGAGGCUCGGGUUCAGGCCGUAGCCCUCGGAAAACCCGGAAAGCCUUGGGACACCUGGG